rnacentral:rRNA from 1 species
GGUAGGGUCCAAGUCGUUAAUCGGGAAUUACGUGGGGACGUAAAGCGUGCGCAGGCGGUUGUGCAAGACCGAUGUGAAACGUCCCCGGGGCUUAAACCUGGGGAAUUGCAUUGGUGACUGCACGGCUAGAGUGUGUCAGAGGGGGGGUAGAAUUCCACGUGUAGCAGUGAAAUGCGUAGAGAUGUGGAGGAAUACCGAUGGCGAAGGCAGCCCCCUGGGAUAACACUGACGCUCAUGCACGAAAGCGUGGGGAGCAAACAGGACUAGAUACCCUGGUAGUCCACGCCCUAAACGAUGUCAACUAGUUGUUGGGGAUUCAUUUCCUUAGUAACGUAGCUAACGCGUGGAGUUGACCGCCUGGGGAGUACGGUCGCAAGAUUA